ACAUAGGGGGCAAGCGUUGUCCGGAAUCACUGGGCGUAAAGGGCGCGUAGGUGGUCUGUUAAGUCAGAUGUGAAAUGUAAGGGCUCAACCCUUAACAUGCAUCUGAUACUGGCAGACUUGAGUGCGGAAGAGGCAAGUGGAAUUCCUAGUGUAGCGGUGAAAUGCGUAGAUAUUAGGAGGAACACCAGUGGCGAAGGCGACUUGCUGGGCCGUAACUGACGCUGAGGCGCGAAAGCGUGGGGAGCAAACAG
rnacentral:rRNA from 1 species